rnacentral:rRNA from 1 species
GACGAACGCUGGCGGCGUGCUUAACACAUGCAAGUCGAACGGAAAGGCCCUGCUUUUGUGGGGUGCUCGAGUGGCGAACGGGUGAGUAACACGUGAGUAACCUGCCCUUGACUUUGGGAUAACUUCAGGAAACUGGGGCUAAUACCGGAUAGGAGCUCCUGCUACAUGGUGGGGGUUGGAAAGUUUCGGCGGUUGGGGAUGGACUCGCGGCUUAUCAGCUUGUUGGUGGGGUAGUGGCUUACCAAGGCUUUGACGGGUAGCCGGCCUGAGAGGGUGACCGGCCACAUUGGGACUGAGAUACGGCCCAGACUCCUACGGGAGGCAGCAGUGGGGAAUAUUGCACAAUGGGCGGAAGCCUGAUGCAGCAACGCCGCGUGCGGGAUGACGGCCUUCGGGUUGUAAACCGCUUUCGCCUGUGACGAAGCGUGAGUGACGGUAAUGGGUAAAGAAGCACCGGCUAACUACG